rnacentral:lncRNA from 10 species
GGGAGACUGAGGCAUGGCGGGAUGCAGGUCCCAAGCCCUUCCCCGCGGGGAGGCAGCUAAGGCCCGGCAAGAAAUCGAGCACAGCAGCUGCUAGCGCAGGUGCUAAGCCCCUCACUGCCCGGGGCUUGCGGGCCGGCCUGCUGCUCCGAGUGCUGGGCCAGCCGAGCCCACGCCCCCCCGGAACUGGCGCUGGCCCGCAAGCGCCGCGCGCAGCCCCAGUUUCCGCCCGCGCCUCUCCCUCCACGCCUCCUCGCAAGCUGAGGGAGUCGGCUCCGGCCUUGGCCAGCCCAGAAAGGGGCUCCCACAGUGCAACGGUGGGCUGAAGGGCCAGAGUGGGCGCCAAGGGCGAGGAGGCGCCGAGAGCGAGUGGGGGCUGCCAGCACGGUGUCACCUCUCACCAGUAGUUGUGAUUUUUGCUGUCACCCCCAUGGAUUAUGAAUUCACUUUGUCUGGGUAACAGUGGAAACCCUCGGAAGUUGUUUCCACUGUUUCAUCUAAAAGAAGUCGCCAAAACGAAGUUUUCUCAGUGCCAAAGCAUGGACUCAGUGACUGGCAAUGUUUGGGAUUGCAGAGGCUCCAGUAGCCUGGGAAGGUCACCCUAAAGAAAUAGAACCAGAAGAUUGCAGAAUUGCGGCCUUCGAUUCUCCUCUCUAAGUAGACUGAGUACACUUGAAGACAACAAUAUGGGCAUUCAUUAGAUGGAAUUUGGAAGACAAAGCUGAGGUUAAAAAUUACAUUUCUUUUGACUAAACUUAGGCAGGACAUUUAGUCUAGCGUUCACCACAGGUCUCAUUGGUCCCUACUACCUGUACCAGACUUUCCACAGGCACACUAUAUGCGUGGCCAUUAAGGUUUUUAGUUUGCAUUCCCAGGAAUAAAUUGAUUUCUCACUUUGAUAACAUGCUGUGCUACUUCUGGCUUUUACAUUAAAACCCUUAGAGGAUGAUAAGUAUGGUUACAGAACACAUUGUCUGAGUUUCAGAUCUGGCUUAUUCACUUAAUAAAUGCUAUAGUUUGGAUAUUCAUCCACCCCCCGAUAUCUCGCAUUGAAAUUUAAUCCUCAUUGAUGGAAAUGAGGCCUAAUUGGAGCUGUUUGGGUCAUGUGGGUGGAUUCCUCAUGAAUGGCUUGACAUCGUCCUCAAAGUAAUGAGCGAGUUCUUGCUCUGUUAGUUCCCAUGAGAGCUGGUUGUUAAGAAGAGCCUGGCACCUCCACUCUCUUUCUCUUGCUUCCUAUCUCACCGUGUGAUCUCUGCACAGUUGACCCCACUUUGUCUUCUGCCAUGAGUAGAAGCAGCCUGAGUCCCUCAACAGAAGCCAAGCAGAUGCUGGCACCAUGCUUCUUGUACAGCCUACACAACAUGAGCCAAAUAAAGCUAUUUUCUUUAUAAAUUACCCAGCCUCAGGUAAUCCUUGAAAGCAAUACUAAAUGGACUAAAACAGUAACUAUGUGACUACUUUAUACCAG